rnacentral:rRNA from 1 species
UACGGGGGGGGCAAGCGUUGUUCGGAAUUACUGGGCGUAAAGGGCUCGUAGGUGGCCAACUAAGUCAGACGUGAAAUCCCCAGGCUCAACUUGGGAACUGCGUCUGAUACUGGAUGGCUUGAAUUCGGGAGAGGGAUGCAGAAUUCCAGGUGUAGCGGUGAAAUGCGCAGAUAUCGGGAGGAACACCAGUAGCGAAGGCGGCUCGCUGGGCCGUUCCUGACGCCGAGACGCGAAAGCUAGGGGAGCGAACAGG